AGCCCAUAGGACAUUUACUUUUGAUGUCAACAUGUAAUACUUUUGUAAAGAACUACUCUGAUGAAUAGAAAGAUGUUAUUUCUCUUAUAUAAAUGCAUGUCAUGAAUGAUGGGUGUUAUGUAUUAUUUUGAGGGCGUUACAAUUAUUUCUUUUUUUAUGCAUUGUAGAUUGAUGUUUACUCAUUUGGGAUUGUCAUGUGGGAAUUACUCACAGGAGACAAACCUUAUGCGGAUAUGCAUGGUGCUUCUAUAAUAGGGAUGAAUCACUGCUAUGUCAAGGACUUGCAUUGAAUGAUGACUUGCAAGGACUACUAGCCAAACAUGAAUCUAUUGUCUCAGGAAUUUCUGCGAAAACAGAGAAACCGAAGCCUGGACCUGUUCAAGCACUGGUGAAUCUGGAUGCUCCUCUAAUUUAUAUUCUUUGCAGUGUUUGUGUUGGCUAAUAUCCUUGAUACAUCAGUUAUUGUUGGAAUUGGUCUUUUGAAAAUUAUAUUAGGUAUGGUUCAUAGAUAUCAAAACAUUAGUGUUUAUGUUUUGCACAAUUGUUUUUAGAAAGCCAAUGGCUAGACAAUUGGGAAAUUAGAAUUAACUUUGGAAGACUUAUGCAAUGGAUAUCUAGAACUUGAGUGAGUUUAUUCUCAUUCUAGAACAGAUGCUUUGACUUUCUGUUUUGUUGAAUUAGUGGGGUUCUUUCCAAGGAUUUUGUAUUUUUCUGUUGCUGUAUUCUGGAACUUACAUUCUACAGGAGAGAGAGUCAAUUUUUGUUUUAAGACAAUUCUAAUUGCCUUCUAUAUUAGAUUGUUGUUGGAUGA